GUUGGACAACUAUUUUAUACCUGGAUGCCCAACAAUGAACCCUUCUUAGUCUUGUGGGAGAAGAAGGGGAUAGGUCAUUGCUAGUCCCUAUUAUUCAACUUCUAACCAAUCAUGUUGUUCAUUGCAUUUCAGCUCUGUAGCCAAUCAUUAUACUCAAUCCAAGGGCUACAUAGUUAGUAAGUUUUUGAGGUAGGCUUUGAACUCAGGACUUCCUGACUCUAAAUCCAGCACUUCCUCUUUAUGGCAAGCUGAUUAGAAAAGGAGUUGGCCCAGUCAUUUGUUAAAAGUGAUGGACAGCAAGACCAAUCCACUGAUACUCAUGAAAUGUAUGAAGACCUCCAGAAUGAAUGCCUUCAAUAUUUUUUAAGACAGGAUGAUAUAGAACAAAUAUAUUUAAAACUGGAAAUCGGGAGACCUAGUUUUCAAUCUAGAUUCUAG
ensembl:lncRNA